rnacentral:lncRNA from 1 species
CUAUGGAUAGUUUUCCUACAUGCUAUGUAAUGCUGGAGGGAAGACAAGUCCCAUCUCUGGCAGCCAGAUGUGGAGGUUACCAAUGAGGAGCCUGGCGAGGAGGUUUCACCAUAAGAGAAGGGCCUGCAUGGCCGACUUUGUGGGUUGCUGGAGAUGGUAGACUCAAGGAGGUCUAUUCAAGUGUGCAUUAUUAGAGUGCAUUUAAUAAGCCAGGAUUAUCACCUAGAGUUGCAGAGCAAGACAAAGCAAGUAGAGUCGGUAUCUGGAGACCUUUUUGCAAAGAAGGUAGGUUUUGGUGUGAUUUUUAAACUCUUGGUAUUAACUUUUUUAAUUCUUUUGUAUUAUGAUGUUUUAAAAUCAACUUUUGAAGGGUUUUUUUCUUGCUAUAUGAAAUAUAUUAUUAAACUGAUUUAG